GCUCCGUGCCCCCGCUCAGAGGCGACCCCGAUACCAGGGCUGCCCUCAGCCCCUUCUGUAUCCCGAGGGCGGUAAUGCGGCUCCUGCACCCCAGCAGCGCAUCGGACCCGGGAACCCCAGCUGCGGGCAGGAUGGAAGUGAUGUGGAGAGCCCUGCCUGCCCUGUGGUACGGGGGCUGCAGUCAGGAGGCAAGGAGGAGCAAAGGAGGAGAAUGUUGCCUCAUCCUCUGCUCACAACAAGCCCAGGCCACCUGGCAUGGGAGCGGUAUGGGCAUAGCAGGGAGCGUGUGAAUCACCUUGGACGUGCUGCAGUUCUGUGAAGAAGAGGUGUGUGUUUGUGUUGGAAGUGCUGUAAUGUUUGGCACACUGAGACUUCUACCUGCUCACCAUGACUGGUAUUCCCUGUUCUGCAAGACUGGGAGAAAAAGAGCAUAUGCAAUGAAAUGGAUCCUUGGGUUUUGGAUCUUGAGGUGACCUUGACUCCACAAAUCUCCUGAACAAUUAAACUACAGAACAGUUGAUUGCUUCUUUGUUUGUGUGGCAAUAAAUUAUGGAAUAAGAUAAAAGGAGCCUUCAGAACCUACCCUUACUGGCUUUUUUUUUUUUCUUUUUGUGGAGAACACCACCACGAAAAUAUGCCAUAAUGUAAGAAAACGGUUUUAGUAUAUUUCUGACUUACUACUUGUCUAGCCAUGCAUUAUUUGCAAUUUACACUAUUCUGAAGCAUGAGCAUUGUGUGGAACUAUUGGUGUGUACGGGAAGACUUAGUGAGGUUAAAAGUGCAGAGGAGACCA